rnacentral:rRNA from 1 species
GUAGGUGGCAAGCGUUGUCCGGAAUUAUUGGGCGUAAAGCGCGCGCAGGCGGUUCUUUAAGUCUGAUGUGAAAGCCCACGGCUCAACCGUGGAGGGUCAUUGGAAACUGGAGAACUUGAGUACAGAAGAGGAAAGCGGAAUUCCACGUGUAGCGGUGAAAUGCGUAGAGAUGUGGAGGAACACCAGUGGCGAAGGCGGCUUUCUGGUCUGUAACUGACGCUGAGGCGCGAAAGCGUGGGGGAGCAAACAGGAUUAGAUACCCUGGUAGUCCACGCCGUAAAACGAUGAGUGCUAAGUGUUAGGGGGUUUCCGCCCCUUAGUGCUGCAGCUAACGCAUUAAGCACUCCGCCCUGGGAGUACGGCCGCAAGGCUG